AGCUGGCUGUGCGCAUGCGCGGCACGGGUCACUCGGCUGCCGGCUCCUAGGCGUCCGGCUCGCCGCCAUCUUGGAUCGGGGUUUCAUUGUUCGCGGUAGGCCGGGCCUUUUUUUGUGUAAUCGCUGCCAAAGAAGAAAGCGAAGUAGCCUCCGGUCAAGCGAGGAGGCCGGCUCUUCCGCAGCCAUAGCCCGCCUCAAGGAUUUGGGAGGUAGCGAAGGGCAGGGAGCUGGACCCUGAGGUGCCGCCGCGACCGCAGCAGCCAUGGAGGACGAGAUGCCCAAGACUCUGUGAGUCUGGAGCAGCGUUGAGGGAGGCGGGAUGGUGGUCGCCCCGUAGGGAGGCCGCGGCCCUGCGCCUCUCUGCAGCCUAUUGUUCUCCGUGGACGCCGCGCUGUGGUGGUUCCUCCCUCCCGUGCGCACGCCAGGAUGCUUAGAGCCGAGCCGGGCCGAGAGGACGAUGGCGGGAGAGGGGCUCGGCCCCUGUCACCCCUCGGCUGGCUGCACCCGCGGCCCCCAGACCUGGAGGAAGGACUUUUCAUUCAAAGCUCUCCUCAGGACUCGGCACGUCCUCCUGGAGUCCCAUGCUUGCGUCCUUUUUUUCCCCGCCCCCUCUUUUCGAUGAAUCUUUUCCAGAUUUCCAUCUGGAACGUCCUUUCUCUUUUCUUUUGGUAGGAUUUUUUUCAUUUUUAAUUCUUGAAGGCUGAGGUUAAAAACUUUAUACUUGCAGUUGAGAACUGGAAAGAAAAAAAAAAAAAAAGCCAGACAUCUUUCUCGAAGGUCUUCGGCUUUCCCUCUGUAGUACUCCCCUGACCCUCGACCAAAAAACCUAACUGGACACCCAAGGAUGUUGAAACCGUUCUUAAAAAAUGGAAAUCUCACUCGGAGGGAUGCAUCUACCGAGGGAAAGUGGGUUUCAUUAAAACAUAUUUACCACC
rnacentral:lncRNA from 1 species